AACACUAACUGGAGGACCGAACCGACUAAUGUUGAAAAAUUAGCGGAUGACCUGUGGCUGGGGGUGAAAGGCCAAUCAAACCGGGAGAUAGCUGGUUCUCCCCGAAAGCUAUUUAGGUAGCGCCUCGUGAAUUCAUCUCCGGGGGUAGAGCACUGUUUCGGCUAGGGGGCCAUCCCGGCUUACCAACCCGAUGCAAACUGCGAAUACCGGAGAAUGUUAUCACGGGAGACACACGGCGGGUGCUAACGUCCGUCGUGAAGAGGGAAACAACCCAGACCGCCAGCUAAGGUCCCAAAGUCAUGGUUAAGUGGGAAACGAUGUGGGAAGGCCCAGACAGCCAGGAUGUUGGCUUAGAAGCAGCCAUCAUUUAAAGAAAGCGUAAUAGCUCACUGGUCGAGUCGGCCUGCGCGGAAGAUGUAACGGGGCUAAACCAUGCACCGAAGCUGCGGCAGCGA
rnacentral:rRNA from 1 species